GCAGCACGUGGCCGCGGGGUUAUCAGUGCCGGCUGUGCACUGGCCGCGGUAGCUGCGGAUACCCAGAACUACCCACCAGCUACGCCAUCAUCUCUCACCUCUGUAGCUCUGAACACACUGGUGCCUCCUAGGGCCUACAAGUCCUGAACGGUCUCGACCACAGCACCACCACUGACAGAACUGCAUUGACAGUCUCUAGAUGCCUCAGCUGGCGUGCAGGCAGGACUGGGCGUUCAGUCCAAGGAAUCUGGCGUAACUGGAGAUGAAGACGUGUUUCGCAUUGUGGAAGCGGACCGUUCUCCUGGAAGGAGCCGUCACUAAAAGACCGUAGAUAGGCGCCCACCGCUCCGUACAAUGCGGCUCGGCCCAGUGAGCGCUCUCUAGCUGUGGUCGACCUGGCACAGAAGAAAACUCCACAAUGGCUGGCACCAUACCUGCUGCUUGAAGUACCGUCUGUCUUCUUCAUCCACAAGCACAAGAUUCAGGAAGUACCUCACGGAAAACUUCUUGUUCACAUCUCUCAUUGUUGGGGUAGGGUCAUAUCCUGCUAGAAAUAGUCUUAUUGGAAUGGAUUCACCUGAAAGAAAAGCACUUUGUUUAAUUCUAAAAGAUUACAUGUGAUCACAUAAUACCCAGAACUAAGCUUUACAGGGUAGGCACUAAGGGGAGGCAGGCCAUCCUGCGGGGAAGGGCCUAUGCACUGCAACGUUCAGCAGCAUCUCUGGCCCCCACCCAGAGGCAGAUGCGUGGCAGACAAAAAUGUCUCUAGACAAUGCCACGUGUCCCUUAGAGGGGCAAAGCUGCCUCUGGAUGAGAACCACUACUCUGGAGCCAGAAGGCCUGGAUUCAGAUCGCAACACUGGCUGUGGGACCGUGGCCAAAUCACUUACUAUUGUGUUCCAAGUUCUUCAUCUGUAAAGGGGGAACACCAACAAUAGCAGCUUGAAGGAAAGCUGCAGAGACUGGAUGGGUGAAAAUAUGUGAAAGCUUAUCAAAGUCCCAGCAGGUAGAAUCACAGUGACAGAGAGAGACAGAAAAAUCUGCCUUCCAUUGGUUCACUCCCCAAACAGCCACAAUGGACAGCCGAUCCGAAGCCAGGAGCCAGGAGCUUCUUCCUAGUCUCUCACGCAGGUGCAGGAGCCCAAGCACCUGGGCCAUUCUCCACUGCUUUCCCAGGCCACAGCAGAGAGCUGGACUGGAAGAGGAGUAACCGGGACUAGAACCUGGCGCCCAUAUGGGAUGCUGGCGCCGCAGGCAGAGGAUUAGCUUAGUGCGGCAUGGCGCCAGCUCCCCAAAUUUUUGAUAAUGAAAAUGUAUUUCUUACAUAGUAUUUUUGUGUGUUUUUAAUGAGGUGGCCAGGCUGAAGUGAUUUCAAGCAGUAAGAUAAGUUUUUACAGAUACAAUGGGAUUGGCUACUUUCUGAGAUGGUGAGAUUCUCUACAAAAAGCAGCCAAACAGAGACUUAUAAGGAAUAGUGUACAAAGGAUACCCACCCUGGGAUGACCAGACCAAGCUCCUGAAGUGCCUUACUGUUCAGAAAUUCUGCUGGUCUUGUUAACAUCAGGUUACUGUCAUUCUAUUCCUUCUUUGAUACAUUUACAGAAAGACCUGAAAAGCUUAUGUUUAAUGUUUCCUUGGCCAUUUCUGUGAAAAAUACUUACUUUG